ensembl:ncRNA F26A10.26 ncRNA
UAGUCGGGAGAAAAACUUAAACUAACGCAAGGGUACCAUUUGAAAAAGGAGCCCUGGGGGCGGAUUAGUAUAUGAUGGUAGUGGACACUGGUCACUAUUGCAAUAGAGGUCCGUUUGCCAGCGGCGGCGCAUGAAACGCAAUAUCC